CAGAGACUGCGAGCGUUAUUCGGAUUCACUGGGCGUAAAGGGUGCGCAGGCGGCCGUGUGUGUGAGGCGUGAAAGCCUGGAGCUUAACUCCAGAAUUGCACCUCAAACUACACGGCUAGAGCAUUGGAGAGGGUAGCAGAAUUCAUGGUGUAGCAGUGAAAUGCGUAGAUAUCAUGAGGAAUACCAGAGGCGAAGGCGGCUACCUGGACAAUUGCUGACGCUCAGGCACGAAAGCGUGGGGAGCAAAAGGGAUUAGAUACCCCUGUAGUCCACGCCCUAAACGGUGCACACUAGGUCUUGGCGGAUUCGACCCCGCCAGGGCCCAAGCUAACGCGUUAAGUGUGCCGCCUGAGGACUACGGCCGCAAGGCUA
rnacentral:rRNA from 1 species